rnacentral:rRNA from 1 species
CCUACGGGUGGCUGCAGUGGGGAAUAUUGCACAGUGGGCGCAAGCCUGAUGCAGCCAUGCCGCGUGUGUGAAGAAGGCCUUCGGGUUGUAAAGCACUUUCAGCGGGGAGGAAGGCGUUAAGGUUAAUAACCUUGGCGAUUGACGUUACCCGCAGAAGAAGCACCGGCUAACUCCGUGCCAGCAGCCGCGGUAAUACGGAGGGUGCAAGCGUUAAUCGGAAUUACUGGGCGUAAAGCGCACGCAGGCGGUCUGUCAAGUCGGAUGUGAAAUCCCCGGGCUCAACCUGGGAACUGCAUUCGAAACUGGCAGGCUAGAGUCUUGUAGAGGGGGGUAGAAUUCCAGGUGUAGCGGUGAAAUGCGUAGAGAUCUGGAGGAAUACCGGUGGCGAAGGCGGCCCCCUGGACAAAGACUGACGCUCAGGUGCGAAAGCGUGGGGAGCAAACAGGAUUAGAUACCCGUGUAGUC